rnacentral:rRNA from 1 species
CCUACGGGAGGCAGCAGUGAGGAAUAUUGGUCAAUGGCCGGAAGGCUGAACCAGCCAAGCCGCGUGAAGGACGAAGGUACCAAGCAUUGUAAACUUCUUUUGUCAAGGGACAAAAUCAGGCUCGAGAGCCUGACCGAGGGUACUUGAAGAAAAAGCAUCGGCUAACUCCGUGCCAGCAGCCGCGGUAAUACGGAGGAUGCGAGCGUUAUCCGGAUUUAUGGGGUUUAAAGGGUGCGUAGGCGGACUGUUAAGUCAGCGGUAAAAGCCCGGGGCUCAACCCCGGCGAGCCGUUGAAACUGGGUGUCUUGAGAUGUCGAGAGGUAUGCGGAAUGCGCAGUGUAGUGGUGAAAUGCUUAGAUAUUGCGCAGAACUCCGAUUGCGAAGGCAGCAUACCGGCGGCGAUCUGACGCUGAGGCACGAAAGCGUGGGUAUCGAACAGGAUUAGAUACCCCGGUAGUC